GACUUCUUCAUAUGUAUUUAAACAUGGAGUUCUUUUGUCAAUUUCUGUGCUUUGUAGCAGGUACUUUUGGAAAUGCUGAUCCAGUUGUACCCUUUCAUCUUGCAGCCGGAGACUCAGCAGAGGGGCAGAGACUCAGGAUUGUAUAUACCAAGAUGUUAAGAAUUCAAAUGUCACCCACACACCUGUAGACCACGUGGCCACCUUAUUCACAUUCCUUCCUCUUUUGAAUCACUGGGAAGAAGGUGAGCAGCUGCUUGUGAGGUAUAAUAAGAUUGAUUAAUGGUGUCUACAGGAAAUCAGCUCAAGACAAUUAAUUUUUACAGCACCAGCCCGGUACUUUCAAGCAUUCUACUGUAAGAUUAUGCAUUGUUAAUUGAUACUGCUGGGAAUUAGGAGCAAAGACCAGUUUGUCAAAAAAAAAAAAAAAAAAGAAAGAAAGAAAGAAAGGACACAGCUCUAUUGCAUAUUCAUAUCGACUUUCUACUUAAUAAUCCAGUGGAGAAGGGAAAUCAGAACUGUGGUCUAUCAAACACAUUACAGAUGAGGAAUUAUUGCCCCUUUCCUUUUAUUGUUAAGCUAUGAACAUCAGGAACUGUAGUCUAAGAUAAUGAGUUGUCACUUCUGCCAAUGGAAACAUGGUGCAUAUUCUGUCAGUCUUCCACUUUUGAACCUCUAGGGGCAAACAACACAGUGCCUGGGCUGCUGUGUGUGUUCUGAUUUAAUUCUCUUUUGGUUUCUAUUUGCAACUUCAGAGCAUUGAAGGGCAUGGGAUUACUGCCAUCUUUUCUGUGUGGUGUCUGGGGAAGAGGACUAGAGAGAGACUUCCACAGUCGAUACCCACAUCUCCAAGGCACUCACUAAAAUGUAUUACAGAAAGUAUCAAGUUGAAUGUGGAUCCUAAGAAUGAGAAUUUUCUUAGCUUAGAGAAACAUGAUUCUUUGUUAUUCUUUUUGAGUUGAAGUAGUUAUGUUUUCCAAUAUUACCCAAGGGCUUGCCACUCCAUUCUUUUGCAAGAAAGAUUGUCACCCUCAUAAAUGCAUGCUCAUGGUCUCUAUAAUAAUGUAACCAAGAGAAUAAAGAAAGGUG
rnacentral:lncRNA from 1 species